GUACAGGCGAAGAACGGGAGAGUAGGCAGCAGGGUUUCGGUUCAGCGAGUUAGGGAGGGUGAAAGCCUAACACGAUACCUCUGUCGAAGAUCACCCGGGAGCUGCCCCCUGAAACAGAAGUAGGGGAGGCCGCCCGAUCCCCGUUACGGAUCAUCAAGCGGGUCCUUCCGUUCCGAUCGAAGGGCUUAUUAGGGUGGUACCGCGGGUAACUUCUCGUCCCUACC
rnacentral:ncRNA from 1 species